rnacentral:tRNA from 1 species
CGACCUUGGCAGGGGUCGAACCUGCAAUCUUCGGUUUCGUAGACCGACGCCUUAUCCAUUUGGCCACAAGGUC